rnacentral:rRNA from 1 species
AGCGAACGCUGGCGGCAGGCCUAACACAUGCAAGUCGAACGAACCCUUCGGGGUUAGUGGCGGACGGGUGAAUAACACGUGGGAACGUGCCUUUAGGUUCGGAAUAACUCAGGGAAACUUGUGCUAAUACCGAAUGUGCCCUUCGGGGGAAAGAUUUGUCGCCUUUAGAGCGGCCCGCGUCUGAUUAGCUAGUUGGUGAGGUAAUGGCUCACCAAGGUUACGGUCAGUAGCUGGUCUGAGAGGGUGACCAGCCACAUUGGGACGGAGACACGGCCCAAACUCCUACGGGAGGCAGCAGUGGGGAAUCUUGCGCAAUGGGCGAAAGCCUGACGCAGCCAUGCCGCGUGGAUGAUGAAGGUCUUAGGAUUGUAAAAUCCUUUCACCGGUGAAGAUAAUGACUGUAGCCGGAGAAGAAGCCCCGGCUAACUUCGUGCCAGCCGCCGCCGUAAGAC